UACGGGGGGGGCAAGCGUUGUUCGGAUUUACUGGGCGUAAAGGGCGCGUAGGCGGCCCUCCUUGUCGCGUGUGAAAGCCCCGGGCUCAACCUGGGAACGGCGCGCGAGACGGGGGGGCUGGAGUUCGGGAGAGGAGCGUGGAAUUCCCAGUGUAGAGGUGAAAUUCGUAGAUAUUGGGAAGAACACCGGUGGCGAAGGCGGCGCUCUGGACCGAGACUGACGCUGAGGCGCGAAAGCGUGGGGAGCAAACAGG
rnacentral:rRNA from 1 species